rnacentral:rRNA from 1 species
AUACGUAGGUGGCAAGCGUUGUCCGGAUUUAUUGGGCGUAAAGCGAGCGCAGGCGGUUCUUUAAGUCUGAUGUGAAAGCCCCCGGCUCAACCGGGGAGGGUCAUUGGAAACUGGAGAACUUGAGUGCAGAAGAGGAGAGUGGAAUUCCAUGUGUAGCGGUGAAAUGCGUAGAUAUAUGGAGGAACACCAGUGGCGAAGGCGACUCUCUGGUCUGUAACUGACGCUGAGGCUCGAAAGCGUGGGGAGCAAACAGGAUUAGAUACCCUGGUAGUCCACGCUGUAAACGAUGAGUGCUAAGUGUUGGAGGGUUUCCGCCCUUCAGUGCUGCAGCUAACGCAUUAAGCACUCCGCCUGGGGAGUACGACCGCAAGGUUGAA